CCAACACACCCGGGGUCACUCCUCCUCUGCCUCUUAGCCACGGGGCAGGCCUGUUUUUCUAAGCAGAGUCAAUUAGACUUUCCCCUAGGACUUUGAUUCUUGAGUGGUUGACACAAGGUUAGGAAAUCGGUUGGAGCUGACUCAUCUGGGCCAGACAGCCUCAAGGGUUUGCGUUCGUCCCUGUACCUGGAUUCCUGGAAUGGCCUUUGUUCCUGCUCUUCAGCUCUAUUUCUUCAUCUAAGUUAUAUCUCAUGGGCCUGAAUGAAGCGGGAAAGUCAAAACCAACUCUAAUAAAGAACAAUUAAAGACACUUCCCAUGAUGCUUUGGAAUCAAGCAUCCACACUGGACUGCUAGUGACUGGUGUGUUUAAAAUAUCAAACCUGCAUGGAACAAGGAAGAAAAAUUGCUCACAAAUAGUUGCAAGAGCCUAUAGGCUGGGUAAUCCUUUUCAUCUGCUGAAACAACUGAAGUUAUUUGUUGUAACUAUGUCUUCUGACAAUGUGACUUAAAAAUGACAGAUCAUUCAUCAUUAAAGCUUUGUAACAUGCAAA